rnacentral:misc_RNA from 1 species
UGCGCAGAUCAUCCAGAUGC